rnacentral:lncRNA from 1 species
GAUCAAUUAUCCACUGUAAUUUGCUUAAAUUGAUGCUUUUCUUGUUUAUUUUCUUCACUGAUUGUAUCAGAUAUAUCAAAUUUACUGUGUACCAAUAAUUUUAAGGCAAAAUUGAAUUCAUUCCACUAGAGGAGGAAUGGCAAAUAAGUGGCACGUAUGCCAAGCUUAGCAUUGAAAAAAGUUUUGUUAGCAUGCACACAUAUUCAAAACUCACCUUCCCAUUCAAUCAAAUUUCAUAGAAAGCACGGGUCAUUCAAUAGAAUUGUAAAUACAGGGUCAAGUAAGACUGAACAUAAUAAUUGUAUUGAAAACACAACAUUAGAAGCAUGGAACAGCAUGCCGAAAUACUUUUUUUUCCUAUCAAACAGUUAGCAAUCUCGUUAAUAAUUUUCUUUUCCACUUACUCUUGCGAAAGUUCUUUUUCCAUAUUAAAUUGUGCAUUCAGAGAUGAGGAACAGAUUAACAGAGGAAGAUUUGGUAACAUACAUUUCUCUAAAUCGACAGCAUAUCAGCCCAACAUAAAAACUUUGCAAAUAAUAUGAAAC